rnacentral:rRNA from 1 species
AGUCGAGCGAGCAAAGUUAAAGGAAUACUUCGGUAGGAAUUUAAUAGCGCGAGCGGCGGAUGGGUGAGUAACACGUGGGCAAUCUACCCUUUAGCUUGGGAUACCACUUGGAAACAGGUGCUAAUACCAAAUAAGAAGUAAGAGCGCAUGCUCAAGCUAUGAAAGGCGGCUUUCGAGCUGUCACUAAAGGAUGAGCCCGCGGUGCAUUAGCUAGUUGGUAAGGUAACGGCUUACCAAGGCAAUGAUGCAUAGCCGAGUUGAGAGACUGAUCGGCCACAUUGGGACUGAGACACGGCCCAAACUCCUACGGGAGGCAGCAGUAGGGAAUCUUCCACAAUGGACGCAAGUCUGAUGGAGCAACGCCGCGUGAGUGAAGAAGGUUUUCGGAUCGUAAAGCUCUGUUGUUGGUGAAGAAGGACAUGGAUAGUAACUGAUCUAUGUUUGACGGUAAUCAACCAGAAAGUCACGGCUAACUACGUGCCAGCAGCCGCGGUAAUACGUAGGUGGCAAGCGUUGUCCGGAUUUAUUGGGCGUAAAGCGAACGCAGGCGGGAGAACAAGUCAGCUGUGAAAGCCCUCGGCUUAACCGAGGAACGGCAACUGAAACUGUUUUUCUUGAGUGCAGAAGAGGAGAGUGGAACUCCAUGUGUAGCGGUGAAAUGCGUAGAUAUAUGGAAGAACACCAGUGGCGAAGGCGGCUCUCUGGUCUGUAACUGACGCUGAGGUUCGAAAGCAUGGGUAGCGAACAGGAUUAGAUACCCUGGUAGUCCAUGCCGUAAACGAUGAGUGCUAAGUGUUGGGAGGUUUCCGCCUCUCAGUGCUGCAGCUAACGCAUUAAGCACUCCGCCUGGGGAGUACGACCGCAAGGUUAAAACUCAAAGGAAUUGAC